AUCCCUUCUCAGCCUUUUGGCUAAGACCAAGUGUAGUAUCUGUUCUUAUCAGUUUAAAGGUUUGGUCCUCUGGUGGCUGUACCAGGUGGUGAAACCUUU
rnacentral:snRNA from 1 species